ensembl:lncRNA
AUUAGGUUUUACCACAUGGCAUUCUCAAAGAGUUCACUGUUGAUUAGAAUUCACACCUUUAGAUUUUGGGGAUAUACUUCACAUCCUUCAUUAUUACUGCUGUUGAAGAUAUGUAUUACAGUGUCCUCUUAUCAUUGUAGCAUCUGUAAUGGAAAUCUUUAGAAAAAUUGGAAAAAAAAAACGUAUUUAACCAGGUUUCAGAACUUCUUAUUCAGCUUUGGAAGGGCUUCAGAGCACGGUAACCACAUUAAUUGGAUAUAAUAUGGACAGCCAAGGGUAGCCCUGUUACUAUGCAGCUUCUACUGUUGUCAUGUUGUUUCAAAACACUUUUCAUGUUUUAACCAGUCAUAAACACAUACGAAAGCAUUGCAUGACACUGGACAACACUGCAGAUCCAUGGGAAAUAACUGCUGCACAAGCAUGGAGGAAUCUGCACAAAUAUAAAUAACGUGGCCCAAGUCAGUUCUAAAUUACACUUAUGUGAAUUCAUGGAAGUCAACUAGUACAACUAGCAGAACAGAAUAGAUAAGAGGAUACAAAAAUAUAAAAUAUGGUACUGCUGUACAGUUAUCCUUGGGCCAAAGCCUGUCAAUCUGCCAUCAUUUACAUUCUCCCACUUUCUCAGUAUGGCUUUACAGGAAAUAAGAAAAAUAAGAAUAUCUGGUAUUUCUAGUUUUAUCACGCACUGGAGGACACACGUCCAAGAACAUAUGGACAUAAAUGUGUCAGUAUCCUACAUCACUUUUAUUUCAAAAAUGUUAUUAAUUUUUGUGGGUGGAGUCCAACAUUUUAAUGCCAUAUUAACAAACAGUGGCUGCUUUUGCAAUGCACGGUUCAGAAGGAGCAUUUGUAUAGCACUCCAAGGAUAACAUUUUAACUGAAUUUGAAAUGAUUUUCUGAAUUGUAGUGCUCUCAAAAGAUACGUAUUACUAUUACUUACAGAGUAUUUCACAGCUUUCAUUUUCACAGUUUCACCAUACACCUCACUUCUGACCACCAGGAUAUGAAGCAGAUCUGGACCCUCCGUACACAGAACUUAAAAUGAAUCUCCUUUCAUAUUACCAUGUACAGAAUAUUACUGCAGGAUUGGUACUUUCAGUAUUAGUCUCAAUUAUAUGAGAGAUGAAUGCUACUCCAGUCAAAAAGCAAGACCAAGACAGUAGAAGCAUUUAUCUGUCUAACAACCUGAAUUUCAAUCCAAACAUUCCCAAUCAACUUAGCUCCUUUACCAAAAUUACGGGUACAGACAGAUACUGUGGUUGUUUGCCACACAAAUGUUCCAAGUGGAUACAGCGAAAAUCGAAUUGCCAAAGGGCUUUUCAGCAGUGAAUUAACAGGUGGUUUGGCAUUGAAAUUUCUACCUGUUAGUGGUUUUCGUCUUUUGUUUCAAGACAGAAAAUGGGAUGAUACCUUUCAAAGCUGCAUCUCAAGCAGACUGCACGAAGAGCAAGGUUUCAUUCCAACCAAAUCUCUCUCUCUCUCUCUUGCAAAGUUGAGGAAAACUGCCAACCACUGCUGCUCUUGCCAUCAACACGCCUGUACAGACAGCUAGUGCAUGUGUAUUAAGCUGUACCUCUCCAUCUAUUCUUCAGACCUUCUUAUUUUCAGCACAAAUGUAAGAAAAUCAAAUUCCUUCUGUUU